rnacentral:rRNA from 1 species
AACGAACGCUGGCGGCAGGCCUAACACAUGCAAGUCGAGCGGACCCUUCGGGGUUAUCGGCGGACGGGUGAGUAACGCGUGGGAAUAUGCCCUUCUCUACGGAAUAGUCCUGGGAAACUGGGGGUAAUACCGUAUACGCCCUUUGGGGGAAAGAUUUAUCGGGGAAGGAUUAGCCCGCGUUGGAUUAGGUAGUUGGUGGGGUAAUGGCCUACCAAGCCGACGAUCCAUAGCUGGUUUGAGAGGAUGAUCAGCCACACUGGGACUGAGACACGGCCCAGACUACUACGGGAGGCAGCAGAGGGGAAUCUUAGACAAUGGGGGCAACCCUGAAGGAGCCAUGCCGCGAGAGUGAUGAAGGCCUUAGGGUUGUAAAGCUCUUUCAGCUGGGAAGAUAAUGACGGUAACAGAAGAAGAAGCCCCGGCUAACUCCGUG